AGUGAACGCUGGCGGUAGGCCUAACACAUGCAAGUCGAACGGCAGCACAGUAAGAGCUUGCUCUUACGGGUGGCGAGUGGCGGACGGGUGAGGAAUACAUCGGAAUCUACUUUUUCGUGGGGGUUAACGUAGGGAAACUUACGCUAAUACCGCAUACGACCUACGGGUGAAAGCAGUGGAUCUUCUGACCUUGCGCGGUUGGAUUAGCCGAUGUCGGAUUAGCUAGUUGGCGGGGUAAAGGCCCACCAAGGCGACGAUCCGUAGCUGGUCUGAGAGGAUGAUAGGCGACACGGGAACGGAGACAGGGACCAGACUCCUACGGGAGGCCGCAGUGGGGAAUAUUGGACAAUGGGCGCAAGUAUGAUCCAGCCAUACCGAGUCGGUGAAGAAGGCCUUCGGGUUGUAAAGCCCUCUUGUUGGGAAAGAAAAGCAGCCGGUUAAUACCACGCUGUUCUGACGGUACCCAAAGAAUAAGCACCGGCUAACUUCGUG
rnacentral:rRNA from 1 species